rnacentral:sRNA from 1 species
UCUCAGCUGGCUUUCUUAUAGGACCCAGUACCACCAGCCCAGCGAGGGCCCCACCCACAAUGGGCGGGACCUCCCUCAUCAAUCACUUAUUUAAAGAUGCCCUGCAGGCUUGCUUACAGCCUGAUCUCAGGGAGGCGUUUCUUCAGUUGUGAUUCUUUGCUCUCCAAUGGGUCUGUCUAGCUUGUGUCAAGUUGACAUAACACUAGCCAGCACAGUCCAUGUUGCAAAAUGAAGAUUCUUUGAGGAAGGAUGAGAGCUACAUUUAUUAGGCUGGACAGGUGGACCAAUCUUUUCACUUUGCAGCCUGUUUUAGAUAUUGUUGAUGCAGAUUCUUUAUGAGUAUAUGAUUAGCAAAUGUUUUCUCUUCAGCUGUUUGUCCUUUCAGUCACUUAAUAGCAAACGUCAUGAAAUUCGAUGAAAGUUCAACGUAUUUAUUGUAUUCUGUAUGGAGCAUGCUUCAGGUAAGUCAGAUUUGUUAAUAUAUUCUUUUAUUUUCUCCUCUCUUGCUCUUUCCUUGUACUGUAUAGAAUAAAGCUGAGUCUCAUGUUUCAGGCCUGUAAUCUCAAUACUUGAGAGGUUGAGACAGAAGGAUUCCAAGCUGAAAGUCUACCUACAGACUACAGAAGAAUGUCCAAACUAUUCUUGGUACUUUAUUGUGAUACCAUCUCAAGAUGGAAAAUUGAAAAGUGCAGGGGAUGAAGCAAGAGUGUUUGUCUAUGUGCUAAAUCCCAGAUUAAAGAAAGAAAGAGGAUAUAAAGAUAGGAUGGCGAUGUGGGUGUUCCUGGGAGAAGUUGGGGGUAGAAAGAUAAUAUAUUCAUAAUACACUGGAUAUAUGCUUGGAACGCUCAAAGAAAAUAAAAGGUUUUUUUUAAAUACCAAAUAAAUCUACUUAAAACCACUGAGCAUGGUUUUCAGAAAUAUAUUUUAAUAAAAUAUCAAUGCUGAAAAGAUCCUGUAUAGUUUGGGAUUUUAUGUCCAAACAUAAUAAAUUAUGGAUUACCUUUGCUGUGGUGUGAGUUACUGAUUAAAGAUCUUUCAUGUUUGAAUUUGCAAUGGUUUGAUGAUCGCAUUGUGAUGAUAGUAGAGAAAAUAGGUAAUUGUGGUUGUAGGCAGAACUGACCUUGCUUUCUUUAAAUAACUGGUCCUGUGAUAUUUACCCAUGGCUCUCAGGCACUCAGCCAGAUGCUGCCGAUAAACGGUAAUCUCUGACUAACAUAAUGCAAAGACAGGCAGAUGUUUCUAGCUGUUCUGCACUCCCUGACCUAAGUCUUUUCCAUUGCGGUGAUGAACAUUUCCUGUCAGCUUAAUUUCCGUUUUUAUCUCCCUCCUGAGCGUACUGCAUCUUUAAGGAUUUUUUAUGAUGUAAGAGAGUGGGCAUUCAGCUUUGUCAAUACAGUAUAGGCUGUCAGGAAGCCACAGCUUCAUAUGGGAAGGAGACCCUCACCCAAAGUGGAUCAGGAAUCAGUGGAGGAUUGCUUUCUUCUCAUGGUCAUGAACACUUCUGAGCCACAUUGGAAGAAUCAGGUCUCAGUGCCCACAGCACAUGCUCAGACACAUACCCUCAGGAGGCCUUCCUGCUUCCUUGUUUCAUUACCCCAUGUCCCUCCUGGCUGCUUUCUGUGAUUAUGACACAAAUCGAACACCUGCACCCAAGUCCUUGUCUGGGACUUGUCUCUCAGGGGAUCUCAGAGUAAGGCACUGGUUAUUUUUAUCCUGUUAGAGGCAAUUAAAUUUUACCAAGAUUUUUUUUCAAAGAGUUUUCAGACUUGUCGAACUUACACUGUAGGUUCUGGAACUUGAACAUAGAGCAGAGAUCUGCUUCUUCUGAGUCUUCAGGAUCAACCUACUUAUUCCUCAACACCCUGAUGAAGGCACUGUGAGUUUAGGAACUGGGAUCUAGAGGGCAAGGAACCAGGUUGCAUGGCUGUGUCACCUGCUGACUGUGGAAAGUAACAGAUCACUCACAGUAUCUUGUUUCCCAAUUUUGUCAUUUGAAAAAUGGGCAUAGUUCUUAUUUUUAUCUCAAAGGACCUAAUUAAUUGGUGUUUAUAAGAAAGAGCACAGUGGGUGAUGAGAUCAGUGUGUUGCUGAUACUUGUGCUGUCAUUGUUUUUCCCACCCACCUUAUACUGGAGCUCUUUCCUUGAGUGUCCAAUGUCCAAUGUAUACACAAUAAUCUAGAAAUAUUCCCAAGAGGAAGAGCAAGAAAAGCAGCUGAGAUGAUCAAUGUUGCAGCAUAAACACAUUGUUUAAAAAUUACUGCAUCUUUUAGUGAAAUUGCAAUGUGAGUACCUGGAGUCAACUAAUUUUCUGAGGUCUGAUCACUUUAGCAGCCCGAGAGACCACAAGUGAGUCCCAGUUGCCUGGCAGAGCAAACUCAUGAAGUGGGAAAUGGCAUCUCACACCCAGCUCACAGUCUCCAAAUCGGACCCUUGUUUCCUCGAUGUGUCAUUGGUUUGGCUAUCUCAGCCCUGGUAUUUGCAUUCAUGCGAAGACAACAGAACUGAGUAGUUCUGAUCAAGAUCAAAGGAUCCACGAAUCCUAACUGUGUGGCUGAAGAAAGGGGAAAAACAGUAAGAGAAAAUGUCUCCGCUAGAUUGAAAAAUGGUGAACAAGACAAAUCCAUGGAGUUUAUCUCAGCAAAGAACAUUCGAGAUGAUGCUGCGACCCACCUGAAGUUCUCAGCACUCUGGAUAUCACCUACAGACUAAAUGCCAAAGGAAGCUACUGAUGGACUUUGGAAAUGGUUAAGGAAGCAAGAAGGAGCACCGAGGUAUUGAUGAAAGGCUAUGGAGAGGCACCCAGCACACUCAUAUCAAUGAAAUCUGCAAUGUCAAAAUGGAAAGAAAAGCUUACAAACUACCCAAAGGAGCAAGCAAGGUCUCAGGCCCAAAAAAGGCCAGCAGAAGCUGUAACGUCUUGCAGGCAUAGUUGUCACAUAUGCCAUCUGGCUCCCUAGCCCAUCAGUAGUGCCAUCAAUAUCCUCUGCAAACAGGAAGGACGCUGCCUGUUGACAAUGUACGUGGGUAAAGAUUUGCUCUAGACAAUGAUAAUGUUCUCCUGGCCUUAUGGAUUAUUAGCGAUAAAAACUUGCUCUGGAACCAGGAAGAAUGAGGCAAGGUUUUUGUUUGUUUGUUUUUGUUUUGUUUCCUUUU